UAAGUCGGUAGUGAAAGCGUCCCGCUCAACGGGAUAUACAUUAUUGAAACUGCAAAGCUAGAGGACGAGAGAGGUUAUUGGAAUUCCUAGUGUAGGGGUAAAAUCCGUUGAUAUUAGGAGGAACACCGAUGGCGUAGGCAGAUAACUGGCUCGUUCCUGACACUCAGGCACGAAAGCGUGGGGAGCAAACAGGAUUAGAUACCCUGGUAGUCCACGCCGUAAACGAUGCAUGCUA
rnacentral:rRNA from 1 species